AACGGCGAGUGAAGCGGCAAGAGCUCAAAUUUGAAAUCUGGCCUCCUCCGGGGGUCCGAGUUGUAAUUUGCAGAGGAUGCUUCGGGUGCGGCCCCCGUCUAAGUUCCUUGGAAUAGGACGUCAGAGAGGGUGAGAAUCCCGUCUUGGGCGGGCGGCCCGCGCCCGUGUGAAGCUCCUUCGACGAGUCGAGUUGUUUGGGAAUGCAGCUCUAAGCGGGUGGUAAAUUUCAUCUAAAGCUAAAUAUUUGCCGGAGACCGAUAGCGCACAAGUAGAGUGAUCGAAAGGUUAAAAGCACCUUGAAAAGGGAGUUAAACAGCACGUGAAAUUGUUGAAAGGGAAGCGCUUGCGGCCAGACUCGGGGGCGGGGUUCAGCGGGCGCUCGUCGCCCGUGCACUCCCCGCGCCCCGGGCCAGCAUCAGUUUCGACGGUCGGUCAAAGGCCCCCGGAAUGUGUCGUCUCUAGGGACGUCUUAUAGCCGGGGGUGCAAUGCGGCCCGUCGGGACUGAGGAACGCGCUUCGGCUCGGAUGCUGGCGUAAUGGCCGUAAGCGGCCCGUCUUGAAACACGGACCAAGGAGUCUAACAUCCACGCGAGUGUUCGGGUGUCAAACCCGUGCGCGCAGUGAAAGCGAACGGAGGUGGGAGCCUUUGGGCGCACCAUCGACCGAUCCUGAAGUCUUCGGAUGGAUUUGAGUAGGAGCGUGGCCGUUGGGACCCGAAAGAUGGUGAACUAUGCCUGAAUAGGGUGAAGCCAGAGGAAACUCUGGUGGAGGCUCGCAGCGGUUCUGACGUGCAAAUCGAUCGUCAAAUUU
rnacentral:rRNA from 1 species